rnacentral:rRNA from 1 species
AGUGAACGCUGGCGGUAGGCCUAACACAUGCAAGUCGAACGGCAGCACAGUAAGAGCUUGCUCUUACGGGUGGCGAGUGGCGGACGGGUGAGGAAUACAUCGGAAUCUACUUUUUCGUGGGGGAUAACGUAGGGAAACUUACGCUAAUACCGCAUACGGCCUACGGGUGAAAGCAGGGGAUCUUCGGACCUUGCGCGAUUGAAUGAGCCGAUGUCGGAUUAGCUAGUUGGCGGGGUAAAGGCCCACCAAGGCGACGAUCCGUAGCUGGUCUGAGAGGAUGAUCCGCCACGCUGAAAAUGAGACGCGGACCAGACCUCCACGGGAGGCACGCGGGGGGAAUAUUGAACAUAGGGCGGAAGCCUAUUCCAGCCAAGCCGCGUGGGUAAAGAAGGCCUGCGGGUUGUAAAGCCCUUUUUUUGGGAAAGAAAACGAACAGGUUAACACCCCGCUUUUUUGACGGUACCAAAAAAAUAAGCACCGCCUAACUUCGU